GGACUACAAGGGUAUCUAAUCCCGUUCGCUCCCCAUGCUGUCGUGUCUGAGCGUCAGGUGCGAGCCAGGAGGCCGCCUUCGCCUCUGGGGUUCCUCCGGAUCUCUACGCAUUUCACCACUACACCCGGAAUUCCGCCUCCCUCUCUCGCCCUCAAGUCCUUCAGUCUGGCAUAACCCUUCCCGGUUGAGCCGGGACAUUUCAUACACCACUUGAAGAACAGCCUGCACACGCUUUACGCCCAGUAAAUCCGGAUAACGCUUGCCACCUACGUUUUACCGCGGCUGCUGGCAC
rnacentral:rRNA from 1 species